GACGAACGCUGGCGGCGCGCUUAACACAUGCAAGUCGAACGAUGAAGCGCUGUCUUUUUGGUGGUGUGGAUUAGUGGCGAACAGGUGAGUAAUACGCGGGCAACCUGCCCCUCUGUUUCGGGAUAAGCUUUGGACACGGGGUCUAAUACCGGAUAUGCCUGUCUGGUCGCAUGGCUGGGGGGGGAAAAAUGUUUUUCGGCGGGGGAUAGGGUCUCGGCCCAUAAGAUUGUUGGUGGGGUGACACCCUAUCCAGGCGCCUACAGGUAGCCUGCCUGUGAGGGUUUUCUGCCACACUUUUGCUUCUGAUACACGCCCCACUUCUUUAGGGGGGGGGGGGUUGGGGAUUUGUACU
rnacentral:rRNA from 1 species